rnacentral:tRNA from 1 species
GCCUGACUGGCUCAGUUGGUUAAGCGUCCGACUUCGGCUCAGAUCAUGGUCUCACUGCUCAUGAGUUCAAGCCCUGUGUCAGGCU